GACUGAGUGGUGUAGUGGUAGCACGCGUCCCCGGUAUGGAUGAAGUGCGGGUUCAACUCCCGCUCGAGGUCU